CAGCCGCCGCGGUAAUACGGAGGGUGCAAGCGUUAAUCGGAAUUACUGGGCGUAAAGCGCACGCAGGCGGUCUGACAAGUCAGAUGUGAAAUCCCCGGGCUUAACCUGGGAACUGCAUUUGAAACUGUCAGGCUGGAGUCUUGUAGAGGGGGGUGGAAUUCCAGGUGUAGCGGUGAAAUGCGUAGAGAUCUGGAGGAAUACCGGUGGCGAAGGCGGCCCCCUGGACAAAGACUGACGCUCAGGUGCGAAAGCGUGGGGAGCAAACAGGAUUAGAUACCCGGGUAGUCCCUGUCUCUUAUAU
rnacentral:rRNA from 1 species